GACGCCAUUUUCUAUUUUCGUAAGGUAAUCGAGGAAGUGCUUGUCACUUUAUGGUGCUUGUGUUUUAAAAAAAUAGCUUUAAAGAGUCUUGCUGCAUUCUAGAAUUUGUUACAUAUCGCAAUGUCUGAAAACGAGAACAAGAAAUUGGCGGACUUAAGAGUAAUAGAUUUAAAGUCAGAGUUGGAAAAAAGAGGCCUGGACAAAAAUGGCGUAAAACAGGUUAUACUUCAAAGAUUGAAAGAGGCAUUGGAAAAAGAAGGACAUGAUCCUGAAACUUACAUAUUUGAGUCAACGGACAACAAAAAGAGAAAUUCAGUUCAGGAUGCUGAAUCUGAAGAAAAAUUAGAUGAGUCUAUUGAUGAUAAAACAAAACCUACGGAAGAAAAUACAAAAACCUUGAAUGGAAAAGAAAAUGGGCAAAUUAAAAAUAACGAUGCUGAAUUGAAAGAUACAGAAAAUGUUUCUCAAAAAGAUGACACUAAGACAAAUGACGUAGAGCCUGAAUCUAAGGAAAACAAGGAAUCCGAAGAAAACAUUGACAAACCUAAAGUUCCGCCUCCGCCAGUUUUGACAGAAGAAGAUGAUGGGCAUGAAUCUCCUAUUAGGCUUACUUUAGAUGAUGAUGAGACAUUACAUGAUGUCGAGAGCGAGUCUACUGAAAAAGCUCGAGAUGAAGAUACAACAAAUGAUAAAAGUAAGAAGGAAGAUCGAGCGAGUUCGAAGGAUGAAGGUUCUCGUCGGGAAGAGGAGAGAGCAGAAGAUGAUUCUAGGAGAGAGUCUGGAGAAAAUCUUCAGAAGAAAGUCAGCGGCAAAUCGAACCCCAACGUGGUUUGGAUCUCGAACGUGGCUAAAACGACGCGCGCCAGCGAACUCAAGUCCGCCUUGUCGGCUUGCGGCAAAGUGGUCGGCGCCAAGGUGGUAGUGAACGCGCGCUAUCCGGGCUCCAACUGUUUCGGAUACGUCACUAUGGGAUCUGUGGAGGACGUGGAGAACGUUAUCAGCAAACUCAACAACACCGAGUUAAAUGGGCAGAUGAUAAAAAUUGAAAAGUUUGACCAGGUACGCGCCGAUCAAAUGAGGCAAAUGAAGGACGCCAAGUCUUCAAGUUCCAAAUCUAAAUCGGACGCAGAGAAGAAGGACGGUAAAAACAGUGGCAGUGCAGAGAAGGAAGAUGGUGCGAAGAAAGGGGAAGAAAAGGACGACGAUAAACACAGUAAAGACGGGAAAGACUCGCGCGAAAGAAAGGAUUCCAAGGAGAGGAGGAGGUCUAAUGAAAGAACUCAUAAAACAGAUGAUAAGCAAAGGGACAGAGAUCGUAGAAGUAGAUCCAGGGAUCGCAGGUUACAUGGCGGGAAACCCAGAGAUAUUUUGACUUUUGAUAAAAUUAAGGAGGAGAGAGAGAGACAAAAAAUGCGCGAACGUGAACGUAUCUUAAGGGAAGAAUCGAGACGACGUCACGAGGAGAGCCUCAGGCAGAGGGACAUCGAGAGACGUCAACGUCAAGAGGCUGCCAGACUAGAGAGAGAAAAGGAGAAGCUCAGGUUGGAAAAGGAGAAAAUCGCUAGGGAAAAGGCCGAAUUGGUGCGGAUGGAACGGGAACGUCAACGGCUCGAGCGGGAAAAAAUCGCCAGGGAAAAAAUGGAAUUAAAAAGAACGUUGAUAAGACUAGAAGAGGACCGAAAGCGUGCUCCGUUUAGAGGUGACGAACGGUUCGACGAUCGGAAAAGACCGCCUGUACCUGGCGGCGACCGUUCUAGGUUAGAGAAGAUAGGCAGAGAUAAGAUGGAGGUGCAGCGGUCGUACCCGAGAAUGGAGGAGGACCGUAGGACUGGGAAAAGACCGGUUCCGUAUAGGGGCGACGAUCGGUACGAUGACCGUAAGAGGCCGGCGCCUUCUGACAGGCGUUUCGAAGCCCCGCCUCCGCCGAGAUUCGACACUUCAAAGUAAAAAAACUCGUGAGCUGAGUCCGAAAAAAUUCACUGGACCUUCAAAAGAUUCCUAUAACAAGGCCAGAUCCGGAGGAUACGAUCCCAAACGCGACAACUCUUAUGGUGACAAGAGAGGAAGAGAUUACAACGAUGCGCCAAGUUUCGAUAGGAGGGCGAAUAAUUGGUCUAGCCAAACUCCCGGCCAAUUUGUGAGUAACGCACCGAAACCGUGGGAAACGAAACAAGAUUGGCGACAGUCCUCAUCAGACAGGUGGAAUACCAACAGCCAAGGAGCAGCGAGUGGUAGCAGACCUUUUUCCAACAAUUCUAAUAUGGGAUUGGUACCACUGUGUCCCCCUCCUCCUGGGAUAAAUAGCUACAACGAUGGUAGAUUCGAGUACGGGAAAACUAUAAGCUCAUCUAUGAGAAAAUACUAAGUCAAAUCAGUAUGUCACUAUAAAAAUUAUUGAGCAAACAGACAGAAAGAUGUAUCAAUUGAGCCAUGUUCUUGUAUGGAAAAAUGUAAUUAUUGUUCUAUUUUAAAGUUACAUUAGUUUUAGUUAAAUUAAAUUUAACGUUCCAAUGUAGGUUAUAUUUACGUAUGUAUUCUUUUAGAUAAUAAAGUCGGUUGUCCACUUUCA
rnacentral:misc_RNA from 1 species